UGAGGAACCUGCCUUGGAGAGGGGAAUAACACUCCGAAAGGAGUGCUAAUACCGCAUGAUGCAGUUGGGUCGCAUGGCUCUGACUGCCAAAGAUUUAUCGCUCUGAGAUGGCCUCGCGUCUGAUUAGCUAGUAGGCGGGGUAACGGCCCACCUAGGCGACGAUCAGUAGCCGGACUGAGAGGUUGACCGGCCACAUUGGGACUGAGACACGGCCCAGACUCCUACGGAGGCAGCAUG
rnacentral:rRNA from 1 species